GGAGGUGCGGUUCCCAGUCUCUGUGACCCAGCAGUCCCCCGCUGCCGUCUCCAUGGAGACCUACCACGUCACUCUGACACUGCCACCAACACAGGUAGAAGGGGAUGUGGGAAACUGAGUUGGGCAGGGGCGGUUCCAUUGGCUCAGCUUCUUCCAUUUGUUUCCUCUCUGGGAUGGAAUUCAGGAAGGGAGGGUCCUCGAAUUAGGAGUCCUUGGGUAAAUGGGGCAAGUCAGCCCAGUCACUUUGUUCCUGUCUGUAGUUGGAAGUCAACCUGGAGGAAAUCCCUGGUGAGGGACUGCUCAUAUCCUGGGCCUUCACUGAUCGCCCAGAUCUCAGCCUAACGGUGCUUCCCAAGCUUCAGGCCAGGGAGAGAGGUGAAGAACAAGUGGAGCUCUCCACAAUUGAGGAACUGAUCAAGGAUGCCAUAGUCAGCACCCAGCCAGCCAUGAUGGUCAACCUCAGGGCUUGCUCUGCCCCAGGAGGCCUGGUACCCAGUGAGAAGCCACCCAUGAUGCCUCAGGCUCAGCCAGCCAUCCCCAGACCUAACCGGUUAUUCCUACGGCAGCUUCGGGCAUCUCACUUGGGAAAUGAGCUGGAAGGCACCGAGGAACUGUGCUGUGUAGCUGAACUCGACAACCCCAUGCAGCAGAAGUGGACCAAGCCCGCGAGGGCUGGAUCCGAGGUGGAGUGGACAGAAGACCUGGCACUGUAAGGAGUAACCCUGCCCCGACCCCAUGCUCCAGAGCAGAGAGGAUCAAACCCUUCCAGCACAGUCCUUGCAGGAAUCAGCUCUGUUUUCAGUAGCCUUUGGCGUGAGCCCCUAUUGUAUGCCAGGCCCUGGCGUGGGUCUUAGGGAUACAGACUUGACCAAGAUACAGCCCCCACCCCUGGGUCAAUGACAAGCUUGAGGCAGAGACAGGUGUACAUAAAGAAGAUGGUAAAACCGCUCCAGUUGAGGUUUAUGUAAUGUGCCGUCAGAGUGCCUAGGUGGGGGGGAGAUUAAUUCCCAUGAGGGAAUAAGGAUCAGAGUAGGCUUCAUGGAGGAGAUGACAUUUAAACCACACUUUAGAGCAAGAGUAGGAUUUCAUCAGAGUGUGAAAGUAUUCUCGGCAGAGGGAAGAGCUGGAGCAAAUGAAAGAGGGUGGCUUGCAACUGAGAGACUGGCAAGACAGGAAGAGCAGGACCAGGGAGGAUUUGAAUGCAUAGCUGAGAAGCAUGGUUUCCACUCAGGCCCUGUCCCUUUCUCUUGGGACGAGAGAGAAUUUGGAGGCCAGGAGAAUCUGAUUGGAGCAUUUGUGCCGUUUUAUUUAUGUACACAGCUCUCUGCCUCUGGCCUGUGAUCCACUCAAGUGUGGGUUCAGCUUGCUAAUUUUCUCCUUCCUGCCCCAUCUCCUCUUGUCCCACAGGGAUCUGGGCCCCCAGAGCUGGGAGCUGACCCUCAAAGUGCUGAGGAGCAGCAGCUGUGGAGACACCGAACUCCUAGGCCAGGCCACACUGCCUGUGGGCUCCCCCUCCAGACCACUGUCUCGAAGACAGUUGUGCCCACUCACCCCAGGGCCAGGGAAAGCCCUGGGACCAGCAGCCACCAUGGCAGUGGAGCUUCACUAUGAGGAGGGCUCUCCCCGGAACCUGGGUACUCCCACCUCCUCCACUCCACGCCCCAGCAUCACACCUACCAAGAAGAUUGAGCUUGACCGGACCAUCAUGCCCGAUGGCACCAUUGUCACCACAGUCACCACUGUCCAGUCCCGGCCCCGUAUAGACGGCAAAUUAGGUAAAGAGAAGGAGCCUGGGAGCCCAGCUCUAGCCAGGGGCCCGGGACUGCAGACCCAAGGCAGGACAGUGAAAGAGGAGAGAAAGCCUUAAUUCCAACUCCCCGUUUUCAGACAUUCCAUUCCAGUCCUACCACAUCUUCCUCCCAAUCUUUGUCUCUUCCAAACUUUCCCUUACCUCCUGCCGUUUCCCCAGCAAUUCCUCUCACUCUGCCACCCUUCUGGAUCCUCCUGCCCCUCCUCACACAGGACUGUUGCACUCCUACCUUCCAGCUUCCCCUCUGGCUUUUCACAGGUGUCCUUAGCCCCAGCUGACUAUAAUUGUCCAUCCUGCUACCCUCAGCCCUCCAGCACCCCCUGGGGUCCUCCAACAAACCCAGAGGCCUCUGUGGCAUUUCUACCCCACUCAGUGGGCCCCCAUGGCACUUCUGCCAUUAUAGGGGCCCCAUUGAAUUGCCCCAACUUCAGGGAGCCCCAGUACCCGCUCUGUCCCCGCUCCAUAUUUUCAUAGCAUCUCCCCACACCUUCGGCAGGCCCCAUGGCACUUUCCUACACUCCCAUUAGCUCCUGGGGUGUCUUUUAGUCCCCACGGCAUCUUCUUAAUCACCCUUGUGAUUAAUCACCCUUUAAUCAUUCUUGCCCUCUGAGUCACCCAAAGUCUGCAUCUCAACAAAGACAGUAGGGGUGGGGGCCACUCUGAAGCACCUCCCAGCUCACUGACCCUCCCCCACCCACCAGACUCCCCCUCCCGCUCCCCGUCCAAGGUGGAGGUGACCGAGAAGACGACAACUGUGCUGAGUGAGAGCAGUGGCCCCAGCAAUACCUCCCAUAGCAGCAGCCGUGAGUGGGGAAUGGGGUGCAUGAGUGUGGGUUGGCCCUGGUGCCCCAGCAUCAAAAAGUACUCUGGGUGGGAUAGGAGGAGUUCCAAUCCAAGAAAGAGCCAGGGAGAAGUCAGGUUAUUCAUUCUCUGCACCCCUAGCAGGGGACAGCCACCUUUCCAACGGCUUGGACCCUGUAGCAGAGACAGCGAUUCGCCAGCUGACAGAGCCCAGUGGGCGGGUGGCCAAGAAGACACCCACCAAGCGCAGCACUCUCAUCAUCUCUGGUGUUUCCAAGGUGCCCAUUGCUCAGGACGAGUUGGCGCUAUCCCUGGGCUAUGCGGCAUCCCUGGAAGCCUCAGUGCAGGAUGACGCAGGGACCAGCGGAGGCCCCUCUUCACCUCCCUCAGACCCACCAGCCAUGUCUCCAGGACCGCUAGAUGCCCUCUCUAGUCCCACAAGUGUCCAGGAAGCAGACGAGACAACCCGUUCGGAUAUUUCUGAGAGGCCAUCUGUGGAUGAUAUUGAGUCGGAAACGGGGUCCACUGGUGCCCUGGAGACCCGCAGCCUCAAGGAUCACAAAGGUAGGGGGACGUUGGCAGGGUGCCCCUCAUCUCUUCUUUUAUGCACAUAUCAUGACCUGGGGGACCUCAAGCCAGCGUGCCUUCUCCUUCUUCCCCUAAGAGAUAGCCGGAUUCCCAGCCUAGUUCAGCCAAGCUAGCCUAGAGGGGGAUCUUGGUGCCUUGGUUCCUGGCCUAGAUCUGACAUGCUUGUGAUAGGAAGGGAUGCCAAAUUAUUUCCCUUUACCUCCAUUGUUCUUUCUUCCUGAGUCUAAGUGCCAGUUUUCCUGCCCUUUAAAAAAAAAUUAUAAAAAUUUAUUCCUAGGCAGGGUGUGGUGGCUCACACCGGCACUUUGGGAGGCCAAGGCGGGUGGAUUACCUGAGUCCAGGAGUUCAAGACUAGCCUGGGCAACAUGGCGAGAGCCCAUCUCUACUAAAAAUACAAUAAAUUGGCCGGGCAUAGUGGCACACACCUGUAAUCUCAGCUACUCAGGGGGCUGAGGAGGGAGGAUUCCUUGAGCCUGGGAGUUUGAGGUUCAAGGAGGUUGAAGCAGUGAGCUGUGAUUGUGCCACUGCACUCCAGCCUGGGUGACAGAGUGAGACCCUGUCUCAAAAAAAAAUUUUUUUUUCCAUGGCCGGGCACGGUGGUUAAUGCCUGUAAUCCUAGCACUUUGGGAGGCCAAAGCGGGUGGAUCACAAGGUCAGGAGUUCAAGACCAGCCUGGCCAACAUGGGUAAACCCCAUCUCUACUAAAAAUACAUACAUUAGCCAGACGUGGUGGCAGGCGCCUGUAAUCCCAGCUACUUGGGAGGCUGAGGCAGGAGAAUCGCUUGGAACUGGGGGGUUGGAGGUUGCAGUGAGCCCAGAUCAUGACACUGCACUCCAGCCUGGGUGACAGAGUGAGACUCUGUCUCAAAAAAAAAAAAAAAAUUCUUCCCUUUCAAUCUGCACCCUCUCCCCUAUGAGUAUAAGAAAUCCUACCCUUGGAUUAUCCAUCUGGCAGCAAGACAGGCAGUGACCAGUGGUGGUAGUUCUUCUAACUUUAAAAGAUGAGAGGCUCACCCUAAAACAUCUUCAUUCCUCUACCAGUGAGACUAUCAACCAUGGAUCUAUCUAUCUAUUUUUUAAGCCUGCGUCACUUCUUGAGAUAAUGAGGUUUCUACCUCCAAAGCCUGCUGGGUGAGCACCUUGCUCAUUAUACUGGUUCUGAAUUUACCUCUUUGAAGUUUCUAGAUGCACCACUUCCUGCUCACAGCCUGGAAUUCGGUUAACAAGUCAGUGUCAACCUACCUUUCCCUUCAUGAUUUAUAGACUUUUGGGAGUACCUUCUGGUAGCUUUUGUCUUCCCAUAGGAAAGAGGCCCAAUCCCAGUUUGUCCUCACAAAGCAGCCAGCUCCGUGAUAUCUCUUUUGCGGGCAGAGUUAAGAUUGUACACAGAUCCCCACAAGUACCACGAUUUUUGCCUCAGGAAGGAUAAAGCACAUGUUUGUUUCUGCUUUCGUUUUCUUUUUUCUUUUUUUCACGAAGCCUUAUGGAGAAGUAUGUUUCUGCUUUCUUUCCUGAGGAAGCCUGGCUUCUGGGCCACGGGACUGAUCCUGUCCACAUCCUCUUUCCCUCCAUUCUCCAUCGUGUCUCUGCCCCCGUCUCACCCCACCCCGUGCCCCUCUCUGCCUCAGCUUCCCCUCUUCCCCUGCAGUGAGUUUCCUGCGCAGCGGCACUAAGCUCAUCUUCCGCCGGAGGCCUAGGCAGAAGGAAGCUGGCCUGAGCCAAUCACACGAUGACCUCUCCAACGCAACGGCCACGCCCAGUGUCCGAAAGAAGGCCGGCAGCUUUUCUCGCCGCCUUAUCAAGCGCUUUUCCUUCAAAUCCAAACCCAAGGCCAAUGGUAACCCCAGCCCCCAGCUCUGAGGACCCAGCUCUGAAAGGGCACGAGUUCUCUCAGCCCAUUCCCCACCUCCCCUUCCAUACCCCUUCCUGGAUCUCCAGUGCCUGGGCCAGGAAAGCCCUCUGGGUUCCGGGAAGCCCUGUCCACCCUGGGCCAUGGGGCCGGUUGGAAGGAUACUUGGAACGGGAAGCACAUGAGAGGUGGGCACCCGUUGCCGAGGACAUGGACGAGGGACUGGUGGCUGGGAGGGAGAGGAGGGCCCUGUCCGGCAUGUGUGGGUAUUCCCCAGAAGCAUUUGCCUCCUGCUGAGCCUGGUCCCUGAGCGGAGUCCCAGGGUGCUCAGCUCUUCAGCUGACCCUUCUUCCCUUAUUUAUUCUCUUUUCUAUUUAUAUGUGUGGCUUAGGACCCUCCGUGAACAGAUGAUAGAGGGCAUCUCUCCCAGGUGACCCUUCUUUUCUGUCCCAGGAGGGUGGGUAAUUCCCUUUGGGAUGGGGCUCCCACACCUCCCUCAGGUCCCCACUCAGACCAGCACCAGUGUCUGCCUCUGAGAAUGUUGGCAGCUCACAGAGAGCAGGGCCGGCCCGGGAUGGGGGGCAGGUACUCCCCACCUUCCUGCCUCCCCUCCUGCUCCUCAUCCCUCCCUCCCCCUUUAUUACCGUUUUUUGUACUUGAUGCCUUCUCUGUGAGCAGUGGCUCUGUGGGAAGGAGGGAGCCGGGAGCCUGGUGGGAAGCCUUCCCCAGAGGGAUGGCUUUAGGGGCUUUAUUUAAAGACUGUGAUGAUGGAGCCACGCAAGGCUGCACCUCUGUGUGUUGGGAGACGAUGAUGAUGUCCAUUGCUGUGUGAUGGCUUGGAAUUUAAUUUAUUAAAGUCAAAUUGGAGUUUAUAAA
rnacentral:sRNA from 1 species